ensembl:lncRNA
AUGGUUUUGGGAUGUGGAUGGAAUCCAAUCCAUACGUUUAUUGAGCAUCUGCUGUGCACUGGGGACCCAGUGGGGAAUGAGGUCACCAUUCUUCCGGCUUACCAAUGUAAUAGAAAACUGUAUUCUCAUAAUGGCAGGAACUCUUGGUCUAACCCACCAAGUCCGAUCCAAGGAUCCUUCUUCAGUUACAGGCAGCUUAUUCCGGUUUCAAAGGCCAGGCCAGCCUGGGUCCCCAAUGUCCCCUGCUCCCUGGUCUCUUCUCAGAGCCAUCCACACAAAGGCACAAACCUGGAAGCCCAGAGGUCAUGGAAUCCAGCCUCUCUUGCCCUGAGGCUGGACUCCACUUGCUCUCUAAGAGGACAUCCAGCCUCUGCCUGCAUGCCUCCAGAGAUGAGAUGCUUUCUAUUUCCACAAGGAAAAAUGCCAGCAUUUAAAAAAUCGUUUAAUAUAUUUUAAUAUGUUUUACCCUGAGCCAGCAGAGACAGCAUCUUCACCAUCCACAGUGCCCCCGAUUUGUCUCACUGAAGGGAGAAGAAUUGGGGUCUUUGUUCUAGGUAUGGAUUGCCCACUUGGAGCCGUCAGCCUUGAGGCCCCCUCUCAGCCCUGGUGCCCAUGGACACAGCAUCAGGAAAUUGGAUUCUGGUUUGAGGCAAGACUGGCAUGACUUUCUCAAGCCAAUGGCCCAGCUUGACGGGGGGAAGGGGAGAAGGUGAUUUAUAGAGUUAGUGGCUGCCCCUUUGGCAGGAAAAGGCUCACGACCGUCUAUGCUCUGAAAAAGGAAGAGGAGGGGGUCUGUCUGUAAUCAUUCAGCCCCGAAAUGAUGCUCAUGAUGUUGGCUUUCCAGGCCAUUAAUUCAAGGGCUCCAUGCCCCACCCCCAUGGUGCUGCCUGCUCUGGGAGAUAAGCCCGGUUCUAUUUAACCCCAUUUAUUCCCCACCAAAGUGUCCUCCAUCUGUGCUAGCCAGGUGUUUAACCCUUUGGGUACCAAAAGCAUCAAAAAUAGAAAAAAAAAAAUCUCAUGAUGGGGGAGGGACCCCCGCACCGGGCUUCAGAUGGUGGGACUGAUUCAGAAUACAGUUCAUAGAACUUGGCAGGGGUCCUGGGAGUCCCUCCCUGCUCCCUCUCAGGCAGCCUAGGUCCCCCAAGAGGGUGGGACCUUAUGUGGCCCUGGGAGGGGAGCCCCCACCCCCACUCCCAGUACAGACAACAGGGACUGUUCCUGCUCCCUCACCUCCCCCACCCCUUGUCUUAGCCACAGAACUAGGUUCUGACAUUGGCCAAGAGGAAGCCUGUGGCAUCUCUGUCUCUUUUGUGCCCCACUGGCUGCUGCCACUGCCUGGCAUGUCCUGCUCUGUCUCCCUGCUGCCUCUUUAAGCAUUUUCCUUUUUAUGUCUCCUCUGCCCCGUUCCUCUCUUUGUUCUCUCCUCUUUUCCCCUUCAGUGAUCACAUGCGGGUAUUCUUGCUUCUGUGGGUGCCUGACGACUCAUUGGUCGCUGUGAAUCUGUGUGUGUGUGUGUGUGUGUGUUCCUGUGUCUGAGUGUCUAUCAGUGUGUGGAUGUGCUGGCCUGCGUCUGACCUGUGUGUGUUGCUCCGUCAAUCUGUGUGACUCUACUGAUGUNNNNNNNNNNNNNNNNNNNNNNNNNNNNNNNNNGCAUCUGUCAACUGGCUCGUCACACUCUGUGUGCAAGCAGCUGUGUGUAUGUGCGUGCUGUGUUUCAACUCAGGAGGCCAAGCGGCGGCAAAUUCCUCUCUUGAGGGUGCCCUUAGAGGAGCUAGUGAAAGAAUCUAGAGGCCGACAGCUUCACUAGAGCACAGACUGGCUCGUGACCAGCUAGCUAGGUCGUUCUGGUGGUCUCCUGAGGCUGCCUUCCAGGCCCCUCGCCCUUUGCCCUCCUCCUGUCCUUCAUCCCUUUCCCUGAAGGUCAGCCCAGGACUGGAAGAGGUGAGGACAGGGAGGUGAGGCAAAG